UCUACAGCCCGACUUGAGUGGAGCUCAUUUUUUUCGUUGGCAAAAGCAUUGGUAAAAAAAUAGCGGGAACGGAAGGCGGAAAAAGCU
rnacentral:misc_RNA from 1 species